rnacentral:lncRNA from 1 species
CAUUUUGAUCCAAACCCCUGCGAAGGGCCCGCGCACGCUCAUGAACCGGGGAAACAUGUGGCCCGCGUUUGAUAUUCAUCUGGAGAUUACCAUCCGAGUCAAAGCUGGGCAAGCAGAUCUCCCCCUGAAACGGCGGCGACAAUAGUCGUGCUGGCCGACCAGCACCGGUUCCACAAGUUGGAGUCGAUACGCUUGAAGUUCGCUGCAAACCUGGCAAACUUGGGAGGCGAGCCUCUGUAGAAAUGCAGCGGCCAAGUUCUUUCCUAGAAAAACCAGAGUGUACCAAAAGC